AUAUAAAAUGUUUACAAAAGAAAUAUUUAUAAAAUUUCAAUAGAAAAUAAAAAAUUCUUUUCUCUAAACACAGAUUUACAUUAUAAACUUCGAGUAACACGGCGUACGAUCUAACCGUGAACGAUCACCGGAAGAAUUUCGGAAUGUAAACAACGAAGAGUCCAGGCAUCGAAAGACCGUUUUUCUUCAGCUUGAUUGGAUAAUUUAACGAUUCUUACUUGUGUAAAAGUGUAAUGACAUGUUUUUCUGUUAAAUAUGCUCUGUUUGUUUGGAUAAUUCCACAGGAACCGUCAACAGCGGACUUGAAUAGAUGACGUGCGAGAUCAUAGCCUGGAUUUGCCUGCACUCAUGCGUCAUCACAGUAUAAAGGAUUUUAAACUAAAAAGAAACCCUGCACAUUUGCAGCUGUACAUAAUGCAAGUCAAACCAGUGUCAGAGAGUCCCAAGUCUGAAAUCAUGGUGCUUUUAUUAAAGAGAUCAGUGUUUGUUUUCUGUGCAUUGUUGACAUUAGUGGAACUGUUUGGUUUAUGUCCAUCUCUCUGACAUUUGAAUUUAUAUUUGAGCGACGGAUAAGAAAGCCAAAUUAUAUGCAUGUAAAACAUUAUACAACUGUAAUAAAAACAUUGAUAAACUUAAAUUUAAACAAAGUUCAUGAACAUGUAUCUGUGAUAUUUGCAUUGAAAUUCAUAAAUUCUGUACAUGGAUACUUUUAAUGAUUUUGUCUCAUGGUAAUGGAAUAUUCAGUUGUUUAACAUUGUUGAUAAAUCAUCUUGAAUAAAAAUAUUGUGAACUUGAUAAGGUAUUUUUCCUCAUUUAAGCACUGAAAUUUUAAGAUCAAAUGUCAAGGUCAAAUACAAAGUUUACUCAAGAAUGUGUUGUAUAAAUGCUGUG